ACUUGGGAGGGUUUACUCAAAGAGGAGGCUGGAAAUACUCAGUUAGUACAACUGCUUCAUUCAUUGCGACAACAAAUUGAUGUUCCUAUUUUGAUCUAGUUUUUCCAAAACCACCUAACACUCAGAAAAACACACAAUGAUCAUCACAUUCCUUUGUAUUACUUGUACCUCUAUUCUGGUUUCAGGUUCAUCUCUCAGUGACAACGUCCACCAGACUCCAGCUGAUGUGUUCAACAAACCCGAUGAAAUGUUAGAAAUCACUGUACACACAGUAUUCAGAACUACAACCAAAUCCUCUGGUACAAGCAAUCAAACAGACAACUGCAGCUCCUGGGAUACAUGUUAGCAACCAGUGGAAACCCAGAGGCUGGCCUGGGUGUGAAGAUAGAAGGGAGUGCAGAUAAAGACCAAAACUGCACAUUAACAACUGAAAAACUCAGCCUGAACAGCAGUGCAGUGUACUUCUGUGCUGCUAGGUUACACAGUGCUACAUAUCACUGCUCCUCAGUACAAAAACCUCAUCAUCUCGCUCAUAUUUUAUCUCUGUAUUAAAGCUCACAGUGCCUCCGUGCACCUGGAAUAAGCCAGUCUAACCAAUGUUGGUCUCUCUUCUGAUUAAGAUCCGAAAUUAGAAUGGGAGGUCUUUCUGUAGAGCGAUGCCUUUAACCUCCCACCUCCCAUUAUAAAAAGCAGCCUCAGACAUUCAUCAGGUCUGCUGUGGCGGCAUCUCAUGUUAACAGGAUCACUAUUAUGACUCAAGUUCUCAUUACAUUUGUAGUCUCGUCUCUGUGGCUUCAAGGUCAGUGCCAGGAUGUGACCCAACACCCUGAAAUCAGUUGGCGUUAUGUUUCCCAAUCUGCAGAGAUGAACUGCAGCCACAACAAAGAUAUUUCUCAUACCCAGAUGUACUGGUUUAGACAGCGUCCAGGGGAGACCAUGACCCUCGUUGUCUACACAGUUGUUGGUGGACAGCCAGACUACGGGGGGGUUCCUCAAACCAAAUAUUCAGCCAUCAAAGAAAACACUGAGAGCGGAGCUCUUACUGUCAAAGACUUGCAGCUUGAGGACAGCGCUGUGUACUUCUGUGCCGUCAGUAAACACAGUGAUGUGACAAGUAUGAGCAGCUGAACAAUAACUGGUUGCCAACACAUUUGGUGAGUGGAUUAGGAACCAAAUGUUUGCUUUUAUA